AGUUAUUAUUUGGGGCCAGAGUUGCUGAGAUCUGAUUCUCUCAUUAGUGAGUCAGUGCUUAAACAUUUGUGGCAUCAUCAGGAUGCCAUUUUGUGCUGUUCUUUGAAGUCGGUGCCGGUGUUCAUCUUUGCAAACCAGGCUGGCCUUGACAUGUUAGAAACAACUUUGGUGGCUUUAAAAGACAUCACAUGGGUAUUUAGAGGAAGUGCCUUGUAUUAACUCCAUCUUGUGAAGGCAGAGAAAGCUAGAAGAUACAUUCCAAAAGAAUUCAAAUAGGUUGAAGCUUUUGGUGUUUCUCCACGAGCCCAGAGCCACUACUAGACCCUGUUUUACUGUGCACCCACCCUCUGCCACUGUCGCUACCCCAGCGCUACCACUAGGCCGCCACCCUGGUUUAGCUCAUUCUGUUUAGCUUGUUUAGUUCAACUAAUUUAGUUUAGUUGAAUUAGGUGGUUAGAGAAUCUGGACUAGUUAGUGGAUGUAGGUUUUGUUUUGUUUACUGCUGCUGUUCGGAAUGAAUUUGUCUUUCCUCUGAAUGUUGCCCUGGAUGAACUUGUUUAUUGUGCUGUUUUGGUGUUGAAUUCUGGACUUGUGAGUUGUGAUUGCUGUUUAUUGUAUUUUUUUUCAUUGUCCAAAAUAGAUGCUGUGAAAGUGUUACUGUUUCAUUAAUUUUUCUUGGUUUGUUGUUGCUGAGUGCUGCUCUGCUUGUUGCUUUGUCCAUAUUAUAUGAACUGCAAUGAUUUCAGUUUGUGGAACUGGUUAAGUCAUGAAUUCUGUUUGCUGCUUGCUUGAACCUGGGACAUGCUAUUUACUGCUGCUGUUUAAUAAACAAUUGCUUCUGUUUAAUAAACAAUUGCUAUUUACUCCUCAUUCAAACAUCAUAGGACAAAGCUAAAUACUUAAGGAGUAAAUAUUUGCACUAGUUUUUUUUCCUAGAAUAUAAAUAAAAAAUUCCAUUAACCAGUCAAUGCAAAAGUAGUUAGAACCGAUUCCAGUCUAAAAUUAUUGCUCGUGUUAAUGUGUAACUAUUGAUUAACAUAUCUACAAGUGUUUUAAAGUGGUGUUCUAGUUUUUUCUGGUUGAUGAAGUAGUCAUUGUUUUAUUUGUUGCCACUCACCGAUUGUGUACUUUUUUAUUAUGCCUUUUGUUUUUUAUGAAGAAGAUUUGGAUCUGGUUCUGCAGGCUGCAGAGGCUUGGAUUGAUGUUGAAAGAGUUCAUACAAUUGCAUUAGAAGCCAAGAAGAACUAGUGUCAUGAUGAUCUAUCUUUUUUUUUUCCAGUUUUAAAUCAUGUAAUUUUGCUUCAUUUUCAUCUUCAAUUGUAAUUUUGUAGGUUUGGUAAUAAAAGAGGAUUGAAAAUUUAUAGUGUAGUAAUGAAGAUCAAGUAAGGAAAAGAUUUUUUUUUAAUUUAACAAGGCUUUCGCGACGCUUUUAAAGCGUGGCUGUACACCUCUCUAUCGCCACGCUUCAAAAGCGUGGCCGUAUCUCUCCCUAUCGCCACGCUUCAAAAGCGUGGCCGUAUCUCUUCCUAUCACCACGCUUUUAAAGCGUGGCCAUAUCUCUCGCAUACGGCCACGUUUUAAUGGGUGGCCAGUUGUAAAAAGCGUGGCAAAAGAAAAAGCGUGGCAAUAGGUUGCAAAAAGCGUGGCGAUAGAGCAACCGCCACCCUUUGAUAGGUCACCCUUUCAAAAGCGUGGCGAUAGCUCAAAAAGCGUGGCGAAAAGCUAUCGUCACGCUUUUUUGAGCUUUUCGCCACGCUUUAAAAGCGUGGCAAAAGACGUGUUUUCUUGUAGUGUGCUAUAGAGAGAGAUGCAUUCGUCAAAGAAACUUCCAAGAUGCCAUUUCUAAUGCUAGGAUUGGAUUUGCCACCGCCUCCACUUUUCAAAUAUGUGAUGGAGAAAAAUAUAAUACCCCAGGUUCCUCUCUUUAACAUUCUAAAGAAGUUUGAUGGGGGUGACUGUUACAGAGGUGGUUCGACCUCACAUAGUAAGAAUGCGGUAUCGGGUUACCAAAUUGCCUAAAUAUAUCAUUAUUCACAUUCGUCGAUUUACUAAGAACGAUUUUUUUGUGGAGAAAAAUCCCACUUUAGUCAACUUUCCUGUUAAGAACCUGGAGUUGAAGGACUACAUUCCCUUGCCAACGCCGAAAGAAAAUGAGAAAUUGCGAUCCAUAUAUGGUUAAUUGCCAAUGUCGUCCAUGAUGGCAAACCUGGUGAAGGUUUCUACAGGGUAUUUGUUCAACGCAAAUCAGAAGAACUAUGGUACGAGAUGCAGGAUUUGCACGUCUCAGAAACACUUCCUCAUUUGGUUGCACUUUAAGAAGCUUAUAUGCAGAUAUAUGAGCAGCAACAGCAAUAGCAAUAAAAUCGACUCGAGUCCUGUUUUGCAAGCACCAUAAUCUGAAACUUGAUUUUACCCGAAUAGAGAUGUAGAGGUGUACGUGCUGGGGUUGGGAUGAGUUGAAUCCGGCAUUAUUUUUUUACUGGGUCAUUUUGUAGAAAUCAAAUCAAAAUCACUGAAAAUAAUUGGAUAUAAGAGUUGACCUCAUAUUAGACAAUGCAUUAUGUAAGAAUUCGGAUAUUAUAUUACUUAUGUAGUAAUGAAAUUUUAAACAAAGAAAAAGUUUU